rnacentral:misc_RNA from 1 species
CCCUUCGCCCCGUUAACUUUCCUGUUUCCUUGCUUCCCUCCCGGGUUCCUUCCGGGCCGUCAGCGGUGCCUCCCUGCCGCGCUAUUUAAAACUCACGGUAAUUACUGCUCUGUCUGACCAACUUUUAAUAACUUAAAACUUCGAUCAGCGGGUCCCCCGGUUCUGGCCUCUUGGAACAACGCCCCGGCCUGCGGCAAGUAUUGUGAAUUGCUUACUUUAGUGAACACACUCUUCUUUGACAUCCCAUUGCGCCCAUUAACAUUCUUCUGUUCAUACUUGUAACAGCGUAUCUUUUGCUUUCAGCCUCUGUUUGGAGUUGGGGCGUCUGCAAUAAGUAAUUUGAAUGCAGAAAAACAGUGGCGAUCUCAUCUUACUCCCACCUUGCUCCCGUGCCUUUCUUUGGAGGUUCCCGGUUCCGCGUCAUUUCACCCCCUAUCCUGACUGUGUGUGAUGGACUACCGUAGGAAUACCCGCUUAACUUCCCCCUAUUUAUGGCGGGGGAGGGAGGGGGACGCGCCCGAAAAGCAGUGGUCAGGCCCGCGAUUCCCGGCUCCUGGGCGAAUGGGACAUACCACCGCCUCCAGGACCGGCCGGCAGGCUGGCCUAACGCACCAUGUAUUAU